CUAUAAGUCUCGUGUUGUUUUCGUUCAAACAGUCGUCACUGCGGCAACGGCGAUAAUUUUCCAUCGUUUUGACGAAAGUUCAGCGAUUCCCGGACCGGAUGUCGAAUCUCGAGCCCUCUUUACAUGUGGGCGUCGGGAGCUCCGUUCCGGGGUCGCUCCCGGCGGGAAAACCGGGACUACGGGCCCCUUUCUCCGCUUGGCCAGUUCGGGCUGCUUGUCGCGUCCCGGCCGUAAGGCCGUAAGGCCGUUCCGUGUUCUCGGCUACCCCUGACAACGCGGAUUGCGUUGACGACGGUUGAUCGGGAGACGCGUGACGGCCGCCGGCCUGGAUCGAUCGCUCAUUCCGUCGGACCCCGGGCGUCGAAUUAUGUCCUAAUCACAUUUUAUGAAGAGUGAGCCCGGCGGACUCCGGUCGGUGCCGAACCUGCAGUCGGUGCCGUUCGGUGGGAUUCGGCUGAGCUUAUGAGCGACGUUGUGGAUGGCCGUGAGAGGGCCGGAGGAAAUCCACCCGACGGCGUGCGUUCUGCGCGCAUUUGGAAUGGCGAAUCG